ACCCCUUUGUAGUUCACAAGCAUGAUGAUUGGAUGCUCAAGCCCAUAUGUGAGGCGCGCCUCGCUCAAACCUUGUUACAGCGUCGGCACAGCACCAUCUGACG